UACAGAGGCCUCGAGCGUUAGGCGGAAUCACUGGGCUUAAAGCGUGUGUAGGCGGACUUCUAAGUACCUUGUGAAAUCCCACGGCUCACCCGUGGAACUGCUCGGUAUACUGGUCGUCUUGAGCCUUCUAGGGGCGAGUGGAACAAAUGGUGGAGCGGUGAAAUGCGUAGAUAUCAGGAGGAACACCAAUGGCGAAGGCAGCUCGCUGGGACGGUACUGACGCUGAGACGCGAAAGCGUGGGGAGCAAACAGG
rnacentral:rRNA from 1 species